rnacentral:rRNA from 1 species
UGACGUCAAGUCCUCAUGGCCCUUACGUCCCGGGCUACACACGUGCUACAAUGGUCGGUACAAAGGGUUGCCAACCCGCGAGGGGGAGCUAAUCCCAAAAAGCCGAUCUCAGUUCGGAUUGCAGUCUGCAACUCGACUGCAUGAAGGCGGAAUCGCUAGUAAUCGCAGAUCAGAAUGCUGCGGUGAAUACGUUCCCGGGCCUUGUACACACCGCCCGUCACAUCACGAAAGUGGGUUGUACUAGAAAUCGCUGAGCUAACCCGCAAGGGAGGCAAGCGCUUAAGGUAUGAUCCAUGAUUGGGGUGAAGUCGUAACAAGGUAGCUGUAGGAGAACCUGUGGCUGGAACACCUCCUUACA